CCGGAGGAAGGUGGGAUGACGUCAAAUCAUCAUGCCCCUUAUCGUUCUGGGCUACACACGUGCUACAAUGGCCGGUACAGAGGGCUGCGAAGGAGCGGAUCCGGAGCCAAUCCCAAAAGCCGGUCUCAGUUCGGAUUGUAGGCUGCAACUCGCCUACAUGAAGUCGGAAUCGCUAGUAAUCGCGAGUCAGCAUAUCGCGGUGAAUACGUUCCCGGGUCUU
rnacentral:rRNA from 1 species